rnacentral:lncRNA from 1 species
GCUUGCCGUUCAGCCAAAUGGGAGGACGCACGGUGCACCGCAUCCUGGCUGUGAGCGUUUGAUGAGCCAUGAGUGCAGGCAGCAUGUUCUACAAAAGGAUGGAUGGGGCCACUUAAGCCAGUGAGCCAGCGUUGGUCUAAUGGAUGAUUUGUCCUUGAAGGUGAUUGAGGAAGACGCUGUCCGUGAAUAAUGAAACUCGGCCACUUCCUGUAUCCUGGAAUUCUGCAGGCCCUGGGGAACCUGGGCAUCACCAGCUCCAGAACUUGUGGUUGUAACUGAGGACAGGGUGGAAGGUUCACAGCCACUAGGAGAGGGGACUAAAGAAACAGCCAGUCUAGGCCUUGGUUGGGGCAGUGAGCAGCUGAUGGAAACUCUGCAUCUACAGAUGAGUAUCCCUUGUGUGCCGGGACUUUCCCUCACCAGCUAGUUCCCCUCCACCAGCAUGGCUCUUCCUCAGGAUACCACGCUUUGUGUCCAGCCUCCAGCCCUGCUGAGCACAUCCCACACAGAGUCCUUGUGAGAACUCAGUCCUAAAGGCUUUUCAACCUCUGCACCCUCGAGCCCAUCCAUCACUACUAGCAUCCCUGUCUUGUACCCAGCUUCCCAUGUGCUCUCCCACGGGAAGGGACAGUAAAAGCUUCAUUUGCAACUCUUGGCUUCCUGACCUUCAGUCCUCGGCUCUAGCGGGCCACGGGACCUCUGACCCCUAGCCAAGCUUCCCUGAUCCAUGAUGCAUGGCCAGCGUCUUCAGAGACGACUAGGAGUCUCUCCUAUGACCAGCCACAGCUUGUGACUCCCCUAUUUGGCAUGUAAUCUCUUACAGAAAUCUGGAGACUCUACUCAUUCUCUCUUAACUCCCACCUUUAACCUCUGAACCAUUUCGGAGACACUUCCUGGUAUCUGCUCUGGUUUUGUUUGUUUGUUUGUUUGUUUGUUUGUUUGUUUGAUUUUGUUUUGUUGAGAUAGACUCUCCUGUAGACUAGGCUAGCCUCAAGCUUAGUAUUUAGCCAAGGAUAUCUCUGGAUUUCUGGUCUUCCUGAUUCUACUUCUUGAGUGCUAGAUCAUAGGCCCAGACCACCACACCCAGCUUAUGUGAUGUUCAGGACCGAUCCCAGGGCUCCGUGAGUGCUAGAUCCUCAACAGUUCCAGAUCCUCAGCCCUCCCUGACAUCUCUAGCAUCCACCUCUGCUUCGCCAUCACCAGUGUCCGAGUGGAAGCCCUUACUGCAGCUCUCCCCGGCCACUUCAAAAUAGCCAACCAGCAUACUGAGAGUGCCUUCCACACACCAAUCACCAGGGUUGGUGUCAUGCCCCACGCUGGUUUAGAGCUCAACACGUUGUCCUGGCUGGCCUUGAAUUUUCAAUCUUCCUGUCUCUGCUUCCUGAGUACUGGGCUUGCAAGGCCAUCAAUGUUAGUCCCUCCCCGAAGGCCUGCAUCUAUGGAGUGGCGCUCACGAGUGUCUCCAUCUAAGUCUGUGUUUCUAAGUCCUUCUUCCAAGAACCAGCCCCAGAAGGUGUCUGCCUCCCCACCCCCACCUCUGACAACCAUCGAAAGCUUCACAGUAAAUUCAUGGCUGCCUGGCUGGGAAACAGGCGGCGGCAAUGGAAAGGAAGCGUGGAUUUGCAUAUUGAAUUAAAAUUAAGAGCUAA